rfam:Chlorocebus sabaeus isolate 1994-021 chromosome 20, whole genome shotgun sequence.
GCGUUGGUGGUAUAGGGGUGAGCAUAGCUGCCUUCCAAGCAGCUGACCCGUGUUCGAUUCCUGGACAACGCA